GAAGCAAAAUUGAAAAAUAUGUAAUUCGGAACAUCAAAAUGCCAGUGCCCACAAUAUGGAAAAAAGCUUACACGAGGAGACGUAUCAACAGUUCUUCACAAAGACGCAGAAAACGAGGACUGAGAGAUCCCAGACAAAGCAAUGUGGAUUUUAACCUUCCUGAGCUUCCAGUGACCUGUGGUACUGCUAAGGGGACUCUGUAUGUGGAGAAAUUUAAGAAAG